CCAGGACGAGUCCGUGCUGUGGACUGAGAGCGGCGACGUCGGCAAGGGCUUCCGCUGCAUCCGCAUGGUGAACAACAUCCGCCUCAACUUCGACGCCCUCCACGGCGACAAGGACCACGGCGGCGUGCACGACGGCACCACCGUCGUGCUCUGGGAGUGGGCCAAGGGAGACAACCAGAGCUGGAAGAUCCUGCCGUGGGGCGACGAGGCCGGCAGCGCCGGCAACGCGCCCCGCGGCGGCUACGGCCACGGCGAGCCCACCGUGCGCAUCUACUGCAAGGCCGACGAGGGGUUCAGCGUCACCGUCCGCCACGGCGCCGUCUGCCUCGCGCCCACCAACCCGCGCGACGAGUACCAGCACUGGAUCAAGGACAUGCGCCACAGCAACAGCAUCAAGGACGAGGAGGGCUACCCGGCCUUCGCGCUCGUCAACAAGGUCACCGGCGAGGCCAUCAAGCACUCCCAGGGCGAGGGUCACCAGGUAAACCAUUGUCCUAUCUGCCCUUCCUGAUCUCGUCGUAUUUUUAUCGGAGGGAUCAAGAAAUGUCGUAUUUUUAUCGGAGGGAUCAAGAAAUGUCGGUAUUUUUAUCGGAGGGAUCAAGAAAUGAUUUUUUGGCCGCGCUUGAGUAUUGCAGGUGAAGCUGGUGCCGUACAACCCCAGCUACCAGGACGAGUCCGUGCUGUGGACGGAGAGCCGCGACGUCGGGCACGGCUUCCGCUGCAUCCGCAUGGUGAACAACAUCUACCUCAACUUCGACGCCUUCCACGGCGACAAGGACCACGGCGGGGUGCGCGACGGCACCAACAUCGUGCUCUGGAAGUGGUGCGAGGGCGACAACCAGCGCUGGAAGAUCGUUCCCUGGUGUAAGGAGUCUCACCAGUCUUACUAGCUGCCACUGCUUUUUUCCUGAAUCUUGAUUUCAGAGAGUAGAAAAUCUCUGAACAUCUUACCAACCCGCACUAGAAGUUUCACAAAGCGAGUGUCGGUAGACACUGAUAGCUUAUCUCCUCGUUUCCUUUUCAAUUACUAUAUUUUUCUAAUAUGUCGUUAACAGAAUAUUAAUGACACCUGAUUGUUGCUUGCGUGUGCAGAAAUAUGCGGUCCCGGCGCUGCAUUGGUCAUCACCAUGAUCCGGAGUCCGAGAGAUCAGCCACCCACCUGUGGUGGUCUCCUGCUGCUAUGUUGCUAGAAUAAAGUCGUGCGUGAUCGAUCUGCGGUGAUGGUGUGUCUCUAUCGUGUCCGUGUUUAGUUUCCAGUCGUUUCCGUUGUCGUGCGUCGGUCCGUCCUGCUUCCGUGAGUGAGGGGAGUGAGAGGGGUUCUUCCUCGGUGAGCUUGUCUGAUUGAGCACCUGCCAUCUGUGCUUGCUGUGCAGAGAGUUUGAGACCUGGAGUGUUAUGUCUGU
rnacentral:lncRNA from 1 species